rnacentral:rRNA from 1 species
GAUGAACGCUGGCGGCGUGCCUAAUACAUGCAAGUCGAGCGAACAGAUAAGGAGCUUGCUCCUUUGACGUUAGCGGCGGACGGGUGAGUAACACGUGGGUAACCUACCUAUAAGACUGGGAUAACUUCGGGAAACCGGAGCUAAUACCGGAUAACAUUUGGAACCGCAUGGUUCUAAAGUGAAAGAUGGUUUUGCUAUCACUUAUAGAUGGACCCGCGCCGUAUUAGGUAGUUGGGAAGGUAAAGGCUUACCAAGGGGACGUGACGUAGCCGCACGGAGGGGGUGAUCGGCCACACUGGAACGGAGACACGGUCCAUAGUCCUACGGGAGGCAGCCAUAGGGAAUCUUCCGGCAGAGGCGAAAGCCUGACGGAGCAACGCCGCGUGAGUGAUGAAGGGUUUCGGCUCGUAAAACUCUGUUAUUAGGGAAGAACAAAUGUGUAAGUAACUGUGCACGUCUUGACGGUAACUAAGCAGAAAGCCACGGCUAACUACGUG